rnacentral:rRNA from 1 species
GAGGCAUUGCGAGCUACCAUGCAGUCGAGCGGAUGAGGGAGCUUGCUCCUGGAUUCAGCGGCGGACGGGUGAGUAAUGCCUAGGAAUCUGCCUGGUAGUGGGGGAUAACGUCCGGAAACGGGCGCUAAUACCGCAUACGUCCUGAGGGAGAAAGUGGGGGAUCUUCGGACCUCACGCUAUCAGAUGAGCCUAGGUCGGAUUAGCUAGUUGGUGGGGUAAAGGCCUACCAAGGCGACGAUCCGUAACUGGUCUGAGAGGAUGAUCAGUCACACUGGAACUGAGACACGGUCCAGACUCCUACGGGAGGCAGCAGUGGGGAAUAUUGGACAAUGGGCGAAAGCCUGAUCCAGCCAUGCCGCGUGUGUGAAGAAGGUCUUCGGAUUGUAAAGCACUUUAAGUUGGGAGGAAGGGCAGUAAGUUAAUACCUUGCUGUUUUGACGUUACCAACAGAAUAAGCACCGGCUAACUUCGUGCCAGCAGCCGCGGUAAUACGAAGGGUGCAAGCGUUAAUCGGAAUUACUGGGCGUAAAGCGCGCGUAGGUGGUUCAGCAAGUUGGAUGUGAAAUCCCCGGGCUCAACCUGGGAACUGCAUCCAAAACUACUGAGCUAGAGUACGGUAGAGGGUGGUGGAAUUUCCUGUGUAGCGGUGAAAUGCGUAGAUAUAGGAAGGAACACCAGUGGCGAAGGCGACCACCUGGACUGAUACUGACACUGAGGUGCGAAAGCGUGGGGAGCAAACAGGAUUAGAUACCCUGGUAGUCCACGCCGUAAACGAUGUCGACUAGCCGUUGGGAUCCUUGAGAUCUUAGUGGCCGCAGCUAACGCGAUAAGUCGACCGCCUGGGGAGUACGGCCGCAAGGUUAAAACUCAAUGAAAUUGACGGGGGCCCGCACAAGCGGUGGAGCAUGUGUUUAAUUCGAAGCAACGCGAAGAACCUUACCUGGCCUUGACCAUGCUGAGAACUUUUCCAGAGAUGGAAUUGUGCCUUCGGGAACUCCAAACCAGGUGCUGCAUGCUGUUCGUCAGCUCGUGCUCGUGAAAUGUUGGGUUAAUUCCCGUUAACGAGCGCACCCUUGUCCUAGUUACAGCACCUUCGGUGGACACUCCUAAGGAAACUGCCGGUGACAAACCCGAAGAAGGUGGGAAUGACGUCAGUAUCCAUGCCUUAACGGCCAGGCCUACCCUGCUUCAUCCUGGUCACAAGUUGCCAGCGCGCAGGUGGGUGACUCUAAGGGCAGACCUGUACACGUGCUACAAUGGUCGGUACAAAGGGUUGCCAAGCCGCGAGGUGGAGCUAAUCCCAUAAAACCGAUCGUAGUCCGGAUCGCAGUCUGCAACUCGACUGCGUGAAGUCGGAAUCGCUAGUAAUCGUGAAUCAGAAUGUCACGGUGAAUACGUUCCCGGGCCUUGUACACACCGCCCGUCACACCAUGGGAGUGGGUUGCUCCAGAAGUAGCUAGUCUAACCGCAAGGGGGACGGUUACCACGGAGUGAUUCAUGACUGGGGUGAAGUCGAAGCAAAGUGGCCAUGGUCCU